rnacentral:rRNA from 1 species
AUGGAGACCGUGUCAUGGUGGGUUGGAGGCUUCCUCGGCAAGUACCCGGAGAUCAUGGUGUCGUUCGCUUGCUUCUUGUUCUUGCUGUUCUUCAGGUUUCGCCACCGGGACGGCCUGCCAACCAACUGGCCGGUGGUCGGCGCGUUGCCGGCGAUCACCGUCAAUGCCGGGCGCGUGCACGAGUGGGUCACCGAGUUCCUGCAGGUGGCCCCGGGGAUGUCGCACGUCAUCAGGGGGCCGUGGGGCUCACCGGUGGACGUCCUUGUCACGGCCAACCCGGCGGACGUGGCGCACGUCUUCACGGCCAACUUCAGCAACUAUCCCAAGGGCGAGGACUUCGCUGCCGUGUUCGACGUGCUCGGCGACGGCAUCUUCAAUGCCGACGGCGAGUCGUGGGCGUUCCAGCGGCGCAAGGCGCACGCGCUGCUCUUCGACCCGAGGUUCCGUUCUGCCGUCGCCGCGAGCACCGCGCGCAAGCUCGGCGAGGGGCUUGUGCCGCUCCUCGACGGCCUGGCGGCCACGUGCGAGGUCGUUGAUCUGCAGGACGUGUUCAUGCGGCUGACGUUCGACCUCACGGCGAUGUUCGUGUUCGGUGUCGACCCCGGCUGCCUCGCCGCCCACUUCCCGCGAGUGCCAUUCGCCGCGGCCAUGGACGAGGCCGAGGCGGUGCUGUUCUACAGGCACCUGACGCCCGUACCGUGGCUGAGGCUGCAGACCUACCUAAACAUUGGCCACGAAAGAAAGAUGGCCAAGGCUCGGCAGGUGCUCGACGCGUCUAUCGCGGAGUUCGUGUCGCUCCGACGAGAGCGAGCGGCCCGUGCCAACACCAACGUCGACGGGACUGACGCCGCUGACCUUCUCACGUUGUACCUGGCAUGCAAAGACGAGGUAGGCAAGGACGGAAAGGAGUUCGAUCGGUUCUUGCGUGACACAACGCUGAACAUCAUGGUCGCCGGUCGCGACACCACGAGCUCCGCCUUGACAUGGUUCUUCUGGCUGCUCUCCAAACACCCCGACGUUGAGGCCAAGAUCCUCGCCGAGCUCCGUGAGAACGCAACGUCUGGUGGCAUCGGCUGCCAUCCCACCGCCAUCGAUCUGAAGCGCCUGGUCUACCUGCACGCGGCGCUGUCGGAGUCACUCCGGCUGUACCCGCCGGUGCCGUUCGAGCACAAGGCGGCGGCACGGCCAGACACGCUGCCGAGCGGCCAUGCGGUGUCGCGGACACGGCAGCUGAUCGUGUCAUUCUACUCGAUGGGGCGCAUGGAGGCGGUGUGGGGCAAGGAUUGCCUAGAGUUCCGGCCGGAGCGGUGGCUGACGGAGACGGGGCGGCUCCGCCACGAGCCUUCCUACAAGUUCGUGGCGUUCAACGUAGGGCCGCGGACGUGCAUCGGCAAGGACCUGGCGUUCACGCAGAUGAAGGCCGUCGUUGCCGCCGUCAUGCCGCGGUUCAGGGUCGAGGUCACCGCCGGUGCAACGGCGGCGAUUCCCAAGAUGUCCAUCAUACUCCACAUGAAGGACGGGCUCAAGGUGAGGGUACACAAGAGACAAGACGAUGCACUAAGUACAAUCUAG